CAGAGAGCUAGAGAAGUCCCAGCUCAUGUACUGGUCAUGCAAGUUAGUUGUUGAGACUGGGUCACUAGGGAAAAACCGGCAGGAUUUUCUAAUUCAGCGUAGUAUCCACGACCAGGGAGCCAGAGGUGAAGGCUCAACCAAGUCCAGGGAAAACUCAGGGGCUAAAAGUACUUGAUAUCUCAUACAUUUCCACACCAGAGAUCUGAAGCAGGCCAUAUGCAGGGUUUCAGUUGCCAAAACUGGAGAAUUAGGGGAGUAGGUAGAGCAUUACGCGAAGAGGAGCCUAGGAGGCUGGGAACUCUGCCACAAGAUUGAUUCUACCAUCGAUUGUAAGCUUGAGCAGCUAAAGACAUAGGGUCACACGGGCAUUAUCAGUCUCAGAUUCACGAAUGCCAAAAUUUGAAGUGUUUUAAAAGCUAUAUAAUAGAGUUGUUUUAAACCAGGUUACGAGAUUAUGGCUUCACAGAGUUUACCCAGAGAAGUGAGGGUAGCAGAAAGAGGGCUGAGUAAGGCAGGCUCUGGCACUUCCUCCGAUUCAACUAAGUAGGUGACACAACAGCGG
rnacentral:lncRNA from 1 species